CGGGUGACGAGUGGCGGACGGGUGAGUAAUGUCUGGGAAACUGCCUGAUGGAGGGGGAUAACUACUGGAAACGGUAGCUAAUACCGCAUAACGUCGCAAGACCAAAGAGGGGGACCUUCGGGCCUCUUGCCAUCAGAUGUGCCCAGAUGGGAUUAGCUAGUAGGGGGGGUAACGGCUCACCUAGGCGACGAUCCCUAGCUGGUCUGAGAGGAUGACCAGCCACACUGGAACUGAGACACGGUCCAGACUCCUACGGGAGGCAGCAGUGGGGAAUAUUGCACAAUGGGCGCAAGCCUGAUGCAGCCAUGCCGCGUGUAUGAAGAAGGCCUUCGGGUUGUAAAGUACUUUCAGCGGGGAGGAAGGCGAUGAGGUUAAUAACCUUGUCAAUUGACGUUACCCGCAGAAGAAGCACCGGCUAACUCCGUGCCAGCAGCCGCGGUAAUACGGAGGGUGCAAGCGUUAAUCGGAAUUACUGGGCGUAAAGCGCACGCAGGCGGUCUGUCAAGUCGGAUGUGAAAUCCCCGGGCUCAACCUGGGAACUGCAUUCGAAACUGGCAGGCUAGAGUCUUGUAGAGGGGGGUAGAAUUCCAGGUGUAGCGGUGAAAUGCGUAGAGAUCUGGAGG
rnacentral:rRNA from 1 species